ensembl:ncRNA lncRNA:CR45733 long non-coding RNA:CR45733
AGUUCCAAGUGCCCCAAUCUUUUACAAAAAUAAAUUGAAAAUCAAAUCGAACGUGAACCGCAACAUGAACAUUAGGCGGCCAGCGACUAAGCAUUUAAUGUCAACCGCCGGGAUGUUUCCUCAUCUCCGCCAAAAACGCCGAGAACCAAAAAAAAACCAUAGCAAACACCAGGCAAAAUAAAUAAGCAAACGAGAAAAAUAAGGCGAAAUUGCCAGCCAGAUCAGCGAAUCUCUCGGUACCCUUCUCAAUAUUCUUUUCGCAAGGGUUCGGAACGACUGG